ACCUGAGCGGCUCAGUCGGCUGAGCAUCUGACUUCGGCUCAGGUCACGGCUCAGGUCAUGAUCUUGCAGUUUGUGGGUUCGAGCCCCACGUCAGGCU
rnacentral:tRNA from 1 species